GAGAAACUGUUGUAAGAGAGAGUUGUAAGUAAAGCUGCAAGAAAGAAGGAAGGAAUAGAAGAGGAGGCUGCUGGGGAAGAGAGCUGUAAAGGAAAAAGCCUAAAGUAAAGAAGUUGUUUCGUGAACCCGCCUUGUCAUCCAAGUCAUUCUUGUCGCUGCGGGCCAGAGGCUGCAGGACUAUGACAAAUGGUGGCCCAUACGGGAAAUGGGGAACUCAUCAUGUCGGUCGGCAAUGGCUAGGUUCAUACAGGAUGGUUUCUCUGAGGGCAUUUACAACCCAAUGCGAAAAGAAGCUUCAGAGCUCCACCAAUAUCACCAAGAGCCUGGAGAACCUUCUCUUCUACUCAAACCAGCCAUCCAAUAGCCACUGGAUUCCUUCAUGUGCAGAAUCAAACAAGCCUACGCCAUGUCAUCAGAUCCCUGCGUGCUGUGACUGACUAACUACCAUUUAAAUCAGCUACCUGUGUCAAGCUGCAGUCACUUCUUGCUUUUCCUUGAUCGCGCCAAGCUUUGUUCUGCCUGAGAGGCAUUUCAUAUUAGCUUUCAACUCUUCCUAGAUGCCUCUGUCUCAGCUGCUCAUAGCUGGCCCUCUCCUUUCCUUUACAACCUGCUUGGUGUGCCCAUCAGAUAAUUCUUUCUUCCCUGUCCUAAUUAAACCUGCACCUAAGCAUCCCCAUCACUUCUGUUCAUUACACUCGUUUAUUUUUCAGUCUUUUGUCUGUCCCUAUAAUGUAAGCGUUACAAUAUGUGUGUCUUAACCUACUUGCCUAUUGUCUUUCUGACUGUAUCUCAAGGUUUACAAGAACAAAACUUCAGGUAUUUCUAUCUUCUUUAUUCAAUAGUAAAUUUAUCAACUUUUCAC